CAACAUUAUCACUCAAUUAGACCAAGGUGCUCACCACUAUGAAAAUGGUGGUGUGUUAAAAAAUGUUUAAAAGAUGGACUCAAAGGUUUGGAUUUUUGAUUUUAUGGUUGAUUGAAGUGUUAUUUUUAUAAAAAAGAGAAGUGAAGAAAAGAGGAAGUGAGGGGGCUUACCGGGGUGUUGGCCGUACUUUUGGUGGAAGAGUGCGUGGGACAGAUGAAGGGCGGAAACAGCUGCCAGAAAGCAGCAGGUGUAUAAGCGUGGAAAACUGAGCAGUAUAGAGGCCAUCGAACGGGUGGGGUGGGGUGGGGGGUGGUGGGGGGUUCAGAGAAGUCUAUAAAAAGACCGCCACAGGCGGCUACGGGGCUCUCUCUCCCAAAAAGCGUUCAUACGUGAAGAAGCCCGUACAAGUUCCAAGACUUUCUCUCAGCCUCCGAGAUCUUUGUGUGAGACACAAGAUCGCUUGCCUGGAUUAACUUGGAUUUACUCAAAAGAUUUGGACUGGACAACAUUGGAUGAGGAACUAGGGGCACCAUUGACGUCAAAUGGUUCAAUGGAGAAGGCCCGUUUCCUGUGGCUGGACAAGACAGGACCAUCUAGUCCAGCUGGGAUGGGUAUGAUAAUGUGUCAGAGACACCUUUCUGGGCCUUUUCGCUCCCCAACGACGCUAUUGACACAUUACGUGAAUGUGUCAAAACGGUGGGGGAGUAGAAUGAUUUAAUCUACUGUAAGAUUCAAUGUUUUGUCAAACGUAAUUGUUUGUGGAGUCUUAACAGGGCACGUAAGAAUUCAGCACACAGUGAUGGGAGGAGCGGAAGAAACAUCUCGAAUGAGCCCAUCUCGCAUGCUGUCCGGCUGGCCGGCAAAGGAGAAUCGUGGUAUCAUCUGUCCCAGUGCGCCCCAGUGAAGGGUUCCUGCAAGGAACCAGACCAGCCAUCGACAGUCCCCGCUCCAGUUCAUACAGAGGCAGAAUAAUCCUCUUCCCCCUUGGUGGCCAGGUAGUCCACCCUGAGCCACUGAAGACAACGACCACGCAGCAGACAUUCCAGAGUUCUCCCCGGACGGAGCAGAUCUGCGAAGGGGGUGAGAAUCGUGCUCACCCUCCACCAGUGGGCGUGCCAAGCCCCCAACGGCUGAACAAUCACGAGCAAUUUUUAUCUUGAUUGAUAACAGUCUGGUCGCCUAAGGCAGAGGGACCGUGUACCUCUUUUCCUGCACAUAAUCUGGCCGCAGGUUUUUUGAGUUGCACAUACUUUGGACUGGAGUAUUGUGGGAAAACCUCACCUUCACUGGAAGUUAUUGCUUUCAUUGUAUUUUCUUACUUGCGUUUGAUUGAUCGAGGUUGACAUAAUCAUAUGAUAAAACAGGGGGGAUAUGUUAGGGUUUGCAGAAUAUCUUCAUCGUAUGAUUAUGUUGGAAUAUAACCUGUAAUAAUUUAACUAGUUUGUCCUGUCUAGACAAAAUUAGUUUACCAAAGUGCUAAGAUCAUUUCAACUUAUUGACUAGCUGCAGAGGAAGCAAUCAAAGUUGCUUUGUUUACAGAACGUCGUAAAAGGUCCCCUGCUAUGCUUUGAUCAGCAGGGACCGGCUGCUUCACCCCAACCUGUGUAUUCCCAAACCCCCACUUUCAACCCCACGUUGUUUCUCUCAAUAAAUAAGCGCCUGACGAGGCCUGAGUCAGAUUUCUUUCGACUAUCGCUGAGAGCACAGCGACGAGUGAACUCUCCGCCUGCAGGUGUCUAAAACGA